GAGGUCCAGCCUGCCCGGUGAACCAAUUUAACGGCCGCGGUAUCCUGACCGUGCGAAGGUAGCAUAAUCACUUGUUCUUUAAAUGAGGACUAGAAUCAACGGCAUCACGAGGGUCUUACUGUCUCCUUUCCCCAAUCAGUGAAACUGAUCUCUCCGUGAAGAAGCGGGGAUGAAUAUAUAAGACGAGAAGACCCCAUGGAGCUUCAAGCUCAACAAAUACCCUUUCAAACUGACCUCAUAUUUUUCAAGGAUCUACUUGUUAGCUUUGGGUUGGGGUGACCGCGGAGAAAAACCUAACCUCCAUAAUGAAAAGAAUAAAAUCCUAAUCUAUGAGUCUACACCUCUAAGAAUCAAUAAAUUGACAUAAAAUGACCCGACAUUUCGAUCAAUGAACCAAGUUACCCUGGGGAUAACAGCGCCAUCCACUU
rnacentral:rRNA from 1 species